AUAGGAAACCAAGAGCGUAUGGGGGAUGCCUAGACUCUAAAAGGCGAUGAAGGACGUGGCUUGGCUGCGAUAAGCUUCGGUGAGGUGCCUAGCAACCUGCGACCCGGAGACGUCCGAAUGGGGGAACCCAUCUUCGUGAACCGAAGAUAUUCCGUUUUUUAGCGGAAAGCAAACCUGGGGAAGUGAAACAUCUCAGUACCCAGAGGAAAAGAGACCAAUAUUUGGCUUUAAAACUCUAAACCGUUAGCUUAUGUUCGGUUUGGAGUUUUGAAGCCUUGGAAUUUCCUAAGUAGCGGCGAGCGAAAAGGAAAAAGCCCAAACCUACCCUAAUUCAUUAAGGUGGGGGUUGUAAGAUGGUGACGUUUCGGCUUCGGCCGGAGAAGAAGUUACAAAAUAUUUUAUUAAUCGAAUUUGCUGGAAAGCAAAGCCGUAGAAGGUGAUAGCCCUGUAGGUGAAAAUAAAAUAUCUUCUUGGUUACCAAUCUUGAGUACCUCGAGACAUGACUAGCUUGAGGGAAUCAGGCGGGACUGACCGCCAAGGCUAAAUACUUUUAGAGAUCAAUAGUGAACUAGUACCGUGAGGGAAAGGUGAAAAGUAGUCCGAUGAGGACGUUGAAAUAGUACCUGAAACCAUACGCUUACAAGGAGUCGGAGCUUUAAUUUCGAUUAGAGUGACGGCGUGCCUAUUGAAGAAUGAGCCAACGAGUUUAUGUUUGUUGCUCGGUUAAGCCCUUCUGGGGCGAAGCCUUAGGGAAACCGAGUGUUAAUAGCGCGAUCGCCGAUUUAUUGGCAAAGUAGCAGGCAUAAGACCCGAAGCCAAGUGAGCUUGCCAUGGGCAGGGUGAAUCACAUUGAGAGAUGUGAGGAGGUCCGAACCGAUUGGUGGUGCAAAACUAUCGGAUGACCUGUGGUAAGGAGUGAAAAGCUAAUCGAACUUGGUAAUAGCUGGUUCUCUCCGAAAUAGUUUUAGGACUAGCGUCCGGUUUACCUGUCGGGGGUAGAGCACUGGAUGGUUUGAAUAGGGAGCAAUCUCGUCAAACCAAUCAAACUCCGAAUACCGAUAGUUAAUUACCGGGCAGUUAGACGGUGGGGGCGAAGCUCCACUCGUCAAAAGGGAAACAGCCCAGACCGCAGUCUAAGGUCCCUAAAUUCACACUAAGUGCACUUAAGGAGGUGAAAUUUCUCUGACAAUAAGGAGGUUGGCUUAGAAGCAGCCAUCCUUUAAAGAAAGCGUAAUAGCUCACUUAUUAAGAGAUUUUGCGCCGCAGAUGUACGGGGCUAAGUGUGGUACCGAAGACGCGGAUUGAUGAUUUUUCAUCAAUGGUAGGAGAGUGUUCUUGUCCGCUAUGAAGCUUGAUCGUGAGGUCGGGUGGAGCGUCAAGAAGUAAGAAUGUUGGCACAAGUAACCGCAAUCCCGAUUAAAUCACGGGACGCCGAAAGACCAAGGUUUCCUUGGCGAUGUUGAUCAGCCAAGGGUUAGUCGGGCCUAAGGGGAUGGCGAAAGCCGAACCCGAUGGACACACGGUUAAUAUUCCGUGACUUCCAAUUGUUUCGAUGGGGUGACGAAGUUUAGUAUGCUGGGCGCAUUAUUGGAUUUGCGUUCAUAUCAUAAGGGGGGAUUCUUAGGAAAAUCCGGGAAUCAAUCCAGGGCUACUGUAUGUCAUUUUCUGUUCUUCGGAAUGGUAAGUGAUGGUAGAACAAUGGAUACCUCCAAGUGAAGUGAAGACUCAAACGUACGCGGGCGAGGAUUCAGCAAAGCAAGCUUCCAAGAAAAACCUCUAAGGUUAGGCAAUUGGAAACCGUACCCCAAACCAACACAGGUGGUCAGGUCGAGAAGACCAAGGCGAACGGGUGAGUGCUCCUCAAGGAACUCGGCAAAAAAGCGGCCGUAAGUUAGCGAUAAGGCCUGCCUGUAUGUCAAAGUACAGGCCGCAGCGAAAGAAUCCCUGGCGACUGUUUAUCAAAAACACAGCUCCCUGCGAACUCGUAAGAGGAUGUAUAGGGGGUGACGCCUGACCAAUGUCAGAAGGUUAAACAAGGUUGGUUUUUUCAUCUUCGGAUGGAUUUGCUGGCUUUGUAAGCCCUGGUGAAUGUCGGCGAUAACUAUAAUCGUUUUUUCGCUAUCGUCUUCUAUGUUAUAAUAGAAGAUACAAAAAAGGGCGAUUGUAAAAUCCGACCAUAUGCUGGAACAACUGUUCCUUAAAUGGAUGUAGAACAUAUGCUACCAAGAAGGUAACAAUGCAUAUGUGCAGUCAAUCAGCAGGAAAGACUUGAAUAUUUGUUCAAAAAUAAAAAUGAAAGAAGCGCAAAAAAUACUUUCUGAAUUUCGUGGCAAACAGAAAUUACUUCAUUAUUAUUUAGCCGGUUUUGUAGAUGGUGAGGGAAGUUUUAGUGUGGAGAUUAUCAAACAUCCGACUCAAGUAUUCGGCUGGAUGAUAAAUCCAUGUUUUCAAGUUUAUCAACAUGAAAAGAAUCGACACAUAUUAGAAUUAUUCCAACUGGUAUUCAAAACCGGAAAGAUAUAUCGUAGAUCUGGUAGCCAUCCUGUAUUAAACUUCAGUAUAGAUUCAAGACGGAAUCUUAUGGAAAAAGUUUUACCUUUUUUUGAUAAGUAUCCGUUGAUAGUUAAGAAAUCAACUUAUCAGACUUUUAAGUCUAUAUUGUUGAUGAUGGAAGAGAAAGAACACUUUACAAUAGAAGGGUUCAAAAAGAUAGUUGAUCUUGCUUAUUCUAUGAAUCAGCAAGGUAAAGAGAGAAAAUACACUAAAGAAUUUAUUUUCUCAACAUUACCAACUAGUAAUAUUCAAGAAUCCUCAGAGACUAUACGUCGGAAUUCAUUAAAAAAAUGAAUAUGAUAUAGUCCAAUCCAUUUGGCGACAAAUGGGGCUUAAAUGCCUAAGGUAGCGUAAUUCCUUGUCUGGUAAUUUCAGACGUGCACGAAUGGUGUAACGACUGGGGAACUGUCUCGAGGAGCAGCCCGGUGAAAAUGCAGUGGAGGUAAAGAUGCCUCCUACCCGCAGCUAGACGAAAAGACCCCGGGAGCUUUACUAU
rnacentral:rRNA from 1 species